rfam:Dichanthelium oligosanthes cultivar Kellogg 1175 unplaced genomic scaffold Do_version_2_scaffold75, whole genome shotgun sequence.
GCUGCCAUGGUGAAAUUGGUAGACACGCUGCUCUUAGGAAGCAGUGCUCAAGCAUCUCGGUUCGAGUCCGAGUGGCGGCA